UAUUACUUGGUCUGUGGGUAUGGGGAAGGGGGUGGAUUUUCUACCAGGCAUCCCAAAGGACGGCUAUGGAGGAAUAACUGUCGAUAUGCUGGGGACUUGUUUGAUACAGGAGAUGUAAGUAAUCUGGUAAGACACCAGGCAUCCCUUAUCACCUGCCCCUUGUUAGGGGGCUUGCAUUUCUCCCUGGUGCUGUGUGUUCUGCGGUCAGCACUAGGGGUACUGGUCGUCACUCUCAAAGGUGCUAUGGCUGACAUUCACAAUUAGCUGAAAGCCAUUGCAGGGCUCUCAGCUGUGUCUCUAGCAAAUGUCAUUUGCCGGCUUGGCACAGACAGCUCUGCAGCUCCUCUGGAGGCACUUCAAAAUUUGCCUGAAUUGAGACUUUGGCUCGGCUCUGGUGACUCUCCAGGCUCCCGGUCUCCACGCCAGGGACUGCUGAUGGCGAUUCACAUUGUAACAGCAGGGGCCCGGGCGGCACAACGCAAAACGCUUUACUUUCCCAGAGCCUCCUGUAGCCUCCCGAGUGAAACUUUGGUCCCCCCGCCUCUUUCCCGCAGCCAGCGGACCAGGGCGGGAGGGCUCUGCGCUGCGCUCAGCCGGGUCGGCGGCCCUCAGCUGCCCGGGGGAAGGCGGCCGCCGCGCAGCUGGCCCGGCGGCAGCACCCCGCUCCCUGCCGCGUCCCGCAGCGCCAGCGAGGGAGAGGCAGCGGCUCAGGCGUCGGGAGCAACGCUAGGGCAGCCAGGGCACCUCAGUCAGUCAGUCAGUCAGUCAGCCUGCCUGCCUGCCUGCCUGCCUGCCUGCCUGCCUGCCUCGGCGGGCGGCCGCCGACAGCCAGCUGCUCGCCUGCGCCUUCGCCGGCAGCAGGGCCUAUAUCCUCUCGCGGAAGGUUACCGUGCCCUGGAACGGCGGCCCGCGACGGAAGCGGUACUGAGGCAGCACUUUGUCAGGGGACGCCUGAUUGGCUAAAGGGACUCUGCAAUGGUUAGCUGGUCUGCCAUCUUAUGGAGCCUGAAUGGUACUACCAAAUAACAGAAUAUGGAACUACAUGUUCACAUUCAGAGAAUAGUUUGAAUUUUUUCUUUUUCAGGUGAAAAGGAUUCCUCAGGAAGACCUUAUUACUUUGCUUUUGAAAAGUUUGAGGUGAGUUAGGAAAGUGGUUGAUCUAAGUGAUUGUGACUGUGAUACCAUCAGAUACUGCAGUGGAGCACUUAAGCAAAUUGUCCAGCAUUCAGUGAAGUUUUGGAGAGUUUUACCAGUUGCUGGAAAACCUGGUAGCACCUGGAAUCUAAACACUUAGGAGAAUGUCUGAUUUCACUGAGUUGUACCUGUACUAGAAAAUACAUUAUAUUUUCUCCAUUUAGUGUCAUUUGCAGAUGUUCACAUCUACCCUGAUACUCUUGCUGGGAAAAGACACUGAGCACAAACUGCCAUUUAGAUUACUGUGAAAUGAAUUUGAUGAUGUGAAAUACUACUUACCACCACAAUAAAAGUCUUAGCAUAAUUGGUUCUGUGUAAGAACAAA